GUUGGGGUUGGGGUUGAUGAUCCACAUGAUGGUGAUGGACCAGGACAGCUCUGGACCUCCUGACUGGCAGCUCCAUCCUCAACCUCCCUUCCUGUCCUUCACACAUGUGCAGGCAGAGAGGCAGUUUUCUGAAGGAUGGUUAAUGUCAGUACCAACAUGUUGUGAUGGAGGCUUCCACCUGAACUGAACACAGAAACUUGCACACAGUGAUGGAAGCAGUCGUUCCUGUUCAGCAUUGAUAUGCCGGUAAUGGGUUUGAUGAACCACAGCAUGGUGAUGGGCAAUCAGCAUCAGGACCAGGGCCGCUCACAAGGAGAACCUCCUGCCUUGCCUCUUCAUCCUCAACCUCCAAUCUUCCUGCUCUUCACACAUGUGCAGGCACAGAGCCAGUUUUCAGAGGGAGGGCUGAUGACACCAGCAACUUCGGAUCUGAACCUGAUCAACCCAGCACCAACCACUGUGCCGCUCCUCCUCUGCCAACUGCACCACAUGGCUCCACCAUCUCAAAAAGGCACAGACACUACUCCACUUCCUGCGAAGGAUGAGAGAAGAGCCGACCUCCCCACAACGGCACUCACCACCUUCUACAGGGGUGUCAUUGAGAGCAUCCUGACCAGCAGCCUCUCUGUCUGGCAUGGCAGCCGUCAAGCUGAAGACUAGAAGGCAGUACAGAGAGUGGUGAGGACAGCAGAAAAGCUCAUAAGAUCACCCCUACCUGUUCUCCCUACUACCAUCAGGGAAGCGCUAGCCCAGCAUGCGGUGCUGCAAAAGCACACUGGGAAACGGCUUCUUUCCACAAGCCAUCAGACUCCUCAACGCACUGAAGAAAACCACAUGAAUAACCAAGGACACGGGAGAAUAUUCCAUGAACACUUCUUUCACCAUGCCACUUACACUUUACUCAUUGCACCUUGUAUACAGCAUCUUCACAUCACCUGUAUGAACUUCUCCUGCCGUGUGUGUGUGUCCACUGUGUUUGUGUAUUUAUUGUCCAUCAGUAUGUUAAUCUUAUUAUUGCACACUGUUUGGGUGUCUGUGUGAGUGUAUUUAUAGUAUGCAUCAGUCUGUAUUUAAUGCCAAUGCCUUAUUUUUAGUUAUUAGUUAAAUGCACAUUGGAGACUGGUCAAACACAAUUUCAAACUUUGUGUUAACCCUCCAUAGAUUUUUGUCAAAAAAUGGAGUCUAAUCUACUGUACUACACAGGCGAUCAACAGACCACACAGUUGAGUGCUGUUUUAUGCACUCUGAAUAUGAGGAGAGGGAGAGGUGACCGUUCACACUUCGUAGUGUAAAAGUAAACAGAAAUAAAUUCACAUUUCAUUCCUGUCUCGUUCACUUCUUUCAGCAAUGUAUGUGGCCUACAUGCAGAGAAGCUGACAGGGGGGACAAAGGGGUCCGUUGACCUGGGCCCAGUGAGACGAGGGGUCCAGGAAUGGGUCCUCAUUACAUUGUAUGUAGUCUAUGUAUUGAGUGGGGGGCCCUUUCAGAUGACUUUGUCCUGGGCAAAGCCAAAGCUGUCAGCGGUCCUGAUUAUGUAUGCACAAACACUGGUUAUGAUGAUAGGAAAAGUUUUCUCUGUUUUCUGAUGGCCUUUGAAUUAAGACAGGCCAAUCUGGAACCUCUCCUGGAUAAAGUGUAAGCUUCAAUGGUGUGGUCACUCCUAAAUCAUAGACAGACAUGGAGUAUGGUAGGCCUAUGGUAAUGAAGAAAUCGUUUUUCUCCAAUAAAACAAACAAAUAGCCUAUUGCUAUUUCAAAUA